CUUCCUCCAGACUCAGCAGCAGACUCAGUGGAGACGCACUUUCUGAGCUGGUGGAACAUCAGUUCACUCAGUUUCCAGAUUUCAUAAGUCGUCUGGGAAACUGUAAAGCCCAUAAAAUUAUUUCAGUAUCUCAAAACCUUAUUUCACAAUUAUCAUUGCUUCUAACAUACAAAAAAAUUGAUUUUUAAAUUUUCUUAUGUUUCAAAGAUGGGCUGAAUGUAGGUAGAAAGAGCAUCAUUUUUUCUUUUUCUAUUAUUUUCUUUGUUGGCACACUUGGCAUGAAAUGUCAAGAGAUCUCAUCCUCUUUAUUUCAAUCUUGAUAGUAUCAUUUUGUAAACAUGAUCACUUUCCUUUCACUGAAAUUUCUUGUGCAUUCAAUGAUUUUCAGUGCAUUAAAGUUUGGUUCCUGUAUCACUUUGCUAUAACAUUAAUUUUAUUUAGAAUAUUAUGCCAGAUCAGUAGAGAACAGAUACAAAUGAAAAUGAGUAAAAAGGUAUGAUUUUGACUUGUGUUAUGGAGUCUUCGUUUUCACUAAUAUCAAUAAGUUCCAAAGGAAUGGUGGACCCUGCUUCUAAGAAGCAUCUCAGAGCGACACGCCCUGCGGUUAGCUCCCAUCUCAACAGAUCGCCCGCCUGCCUUCUCACUGCACGGGGCAGCCCACGUCCACGUGGCCCUGAAGCUGGGGAACAGCACCCUUGAUUCCUCCUGGACUCUGAUCAGUUGACCAGGAGGAGCAGACUCCCCAGCGACUUUCCAGCACAGACUCGGCCAUUCUCCUCCUCAGUCUGCAACGCCCUGUCACGCACUUCGGCGUGUUUCCUGCCUUCUCCCCGCUGGAGGGCACGAGCCUCGGCGGGUAGGGAGACAUGCCAGGCAAUCUACAAGGACAUGCCCCCGGCGCCACUCCUAAAGGGAUGACCUCCCUGCAGUUUUGGCCUGUAGUGACCAGGCGUCUACAGCGAGGCGUCUGCUCCCCACAGCACCCCGGUUCCCAGGCAUGUGUUUCAGCGACCUUCUGAGCCCCAGAGGGGAGUUUCCAGCUGGGCUCCAUCUCCUUUGUUCUCCAAAGCAAAGAGAGAUUAAGUAGCCUCGGAUCACACAGCAGGAAAGUGAGAGUCUGGGCCUCGGAAGUCGGGAUCUCUAUGCUUGGCCGUGGCACAGUGCCUUCUCUGCCAGUUCUCACUCUGGCCAGCUGCA